UACGUAGGGAGCAAGCGUUGUCCGGAUUUACUGGGUGUAAAGGGUGCGUAGGCGGCUCUGCAAGUCAGGCGUGAAAUAUAUGGGCUUAACCCAUAGACUGCGUUUGAAACUGUGGAGCUUGAGUGAAGUAGAGGUAGGCGGAAUUCCCGGUGUAGCGGUGAAAUGCGUAGAGAUCGGGAGGAACACCAGUGGCGAAGGCGGCCUACUGGGCUUUAACUGACGCUGAGGCACGAAAGCAUGGGUAGCAACACGAGUA
rnacentral:rRNA from 1 species